rnacentral:rRNA from 1 species
GCUCAUUAAGUGAAGCCGCGAAUAGCUCAUUACAAUAGCCGUUGUUUCUUGGAUCCUCAAUUUACUUGGAUACCUGUGGUAAUUCUAGAGCUAAUACAUGCGACUAAGGGCCGAACUCACGUGACGCUUGCAUUUAUUAGAUCAAGACUAACCGGCUUCGGCCGUUAACUUGGUGACUCUGAAUAACUCAGCUGAUCGCACGGUCUAGUGCCGGCGACAUAUCUUUCAAGUGUCUACCUUAUCAACUGUCGAUGGUAGUUUAUGUGACUACCAUGGUUGUAACGGGUAACGGAGAAUCAGGGUUUGACUCCGGAGAGGGAGCCUGAGAAACGGCUACCACUUCUAAGGAAGGCAGCAGGCGCGCAAAUUACACAAUCUCAGCACGAGGAUGUAGUGACGAAACAUACCGAGGCGAUGCCCUUUCGGGUGUCGUCAUUGGAAUGAGUCGAAUCUAAAAAAUUCGGCAAGGAUCUAGUGGAGGGCAAGUCUGGUGCCAGCAGCCGCGGUAAUUCCAGCUCCGCAAGUGUAUAUCUAUGCUGUUGCGGUUAAAAAGCUCGUAGUUUGAUUCGCGUACUUAGCACGCAGUGUGGCCUUUCGGCUACUACUGUGAUGCGGUACAUUAUCGUCAGUUUGUCGUUGAUGCUCUUCAUUGGGUGUCAGCGGCGGCUGUCAAGUUUACUUUGAACAAAUUAAAGUGCUCAAUACAGGCGUUUCGCUUGUAUAGUUCUGCAUGGAAUAAUAGAAUAGGACUUACGUUCUAUUGUGUUGGUUUUCAGAACGAAAGUAAUGAUUAAGAGGGACAGACGGGGUCAUUCGUACUGCCACGUUAGAGGUGAAAUUCUUGGAUCGUGGCAAGACGAACUACUGCGAAAGCAUUGACAAGAAUG